ACACGAUUAGCUAAGUGGUAAAGCGCCGAGCUUAUAUCUCGGAGAUCCGCAGGUCCGAAUCCUGCAUCGUGUACCA
rnacentral:tRNA from 1 species